rnacentral:pre_miRNA from 1 species
UAUCUACUCCCUCCAUUCGAAAUUACUUGUCUCGGAAAUGGAUGUAUCUAGAACUAAAAUACAUCUAGAUACAUCCAUUUCUGCGACAAGUAAUUCCAAACGGAGGGAGUACUCU